rnacentral:rRNA from 1 species
CGAACGGGUGAGUAAUGCGUGACCAACCUGCCCCAUGCUCCAGAAUAGCUCUUGGAAACGGGUGGUAAUGCUGGAUGCUCCAACUUGACGCAUGUCUUGUUGGGAAAGUGUUUAGUGGCAUGGGGUGGGGUCGCGUCCGAUCAGCUUGUAGGCGGGGUAAUGGCCCACCUAGGCUUCGACGGGUAGCCGGCCUGAGAGGGCGGACGGCCACAUUGGGACUGAGAUACGGCCCAGACUCCUACGGGAGGCAGCAGCU